UGCGUAGGCGGUUUACUAAGUCAGAUGUGAAAGCCCCGGGCUUAACCUGGGAAUUGCAUUUGAUACUGGUAGGCUAGAGUAUGAUAGAGGGGGGUAGAAUUCCUGGUGUAGCGGUGAAAUGCGUAGAUAUCAGGAGGAAUACCAGUGGCGAAGGCGGCCCCCUGGAUCAAUACUGACGCUGAGGUACGAAAGCGUGGGUAGCGAACG
rnacentral:rRNA from 1 species